CCUCUGGGCGCAUGCACCGAGCCCUAUUCAGCUGCUGUAAGAGAUGCACUGUGUGGAUGUGAGCGCUGCAGUGUGUUUAUGGAUGUUUUACAGAUGGUGACAAGUCAUUGUCAGCCGCACUCCCUCCCCUCUCUACCGGGUUCAACUGGCGCAGGCUCCAGGCCACUGAGGCAUGCUGGGAUAUUCCCCACACCACUGGACUCGACAGACACAAGCCGAUGAGCAGAUAUGAAGGUUGGGUCAAAACAAAACUACUGAGCUCCACUGUCAACGGCGGCCAUUACUGCUCCUCCACAGAAACUGCUCACAAGAUCAGCUUUACCCUCUCCAUGUGGGACCCCCAGAGCUGAUAAAUGCCACUAAAGCUUUACAGGUAAGCAGCAGUUUUAUAAUGAUCAGAAAUGUUUUAUUCUGUUUAAUUCAUUUGCUAAAAUACAAACUUGUGUUAAUUUGUGUCCUACAAGAGAUAAACUCUCCUGAGCUCUUCCACUGUCUGUCUGAAGAUCAUCAUCACUGGACACAAGUCCCAUGGAAUCUUCAGCUCAGAGGAAGUGUCCACCUGCCUCUGAGACGACCUCCACAUUCAAGCUUAAUAAUAAUAAUAAUGCAUUAGUCUUAUAUAGCGCUUUUCCAGACGCUCAAAGUCGCUUUACAAUUUGGUGCAUUAUUCAUUCACUCCAUACUCGGUGAUGAUAAGCGAGGCAACCAGUCUGCGCACAUCAGCCGCCACCACCACCAACCACUCACUCACUCACUCACUACAUUCGCUAGGCUUCCUGGUGUUACUGAACGGUCUCCCAUCCAAGUACUAACCAGGCCCUACCCUGCUUAGCUUCCAAGGUCUGACGGGAUUG
rnacentral:lncRNA from 1 species